rnacentral:rRNA from 1 species
UAUUUGUUGAGAACUGCCGGUCUACCCCAGUGGUCAGCACACGGUUUGUUCUCGGCACUUUCCUGGGGAGAGUGUUUGCACUUCACUGUGUGGCACAUGAUCCAGAACUUUUACUUUGAGGAAAUGAGAGUGUUUCAAGCAGGCGCCUGUCGUGAAUACGUUAGCAUGGAAUAAUAGCAUGGGACCGCGGUCUGAAGCUGUUGGUUUUCGGGCCGUGGUAAUGAAAAUAGGGAUAGUUGGGGGUAUUCGUAUUUAACU